CCUACGGGAGGCAGCAGUGGGGAAUAUUGCUCAAUGGAGGAAAGUCUGAAGCAGCAACGCCGCGUGAAGGAUGAAUGACCUCUGGGUUUUAAACUCCUUUUAUAGAGGAGUAAAUCGAGGUACGUGUGCAUUAUUGCCCGUCUUUUAUGAUUCCGGCAGGGGUAACUCCGUGCCAGCAGCCGCGGUAAUACGGAGGAACCGAGCGUUAUCCGGGUUUACUGGGGUGAAAGGGAGCGUAGACGGGAUAUUAAGUCAGUUGUGAAAUCUUUCGGCUUAACCGUAAAAUUGCAUUUGAAACUGUGAGUCUUGAGUACAGGAGAGGUAGGCGGAAUUCGUGGUGUAGCGGUGAAAUCCUUAGAUAUCACGAAGAACCCCGAUUGCGAAGGCAGCUUACUAAACCGUAACUGACACUGAUGCUCGAAAGUGUGGGGAGCAAACAGGAUUAGAUACCCGAGUAGUC
rnacentral:rRNA from 1 species